rnacentral:rRNA from 1 species
AUUGAACGCUGGCGGCAUGCCUUACACAUGCAAGUCGAACGGUAACAGGUCUUCGGAUGCUGACGAGUGGCGAACGGGUGAGUAAUACAUCGGAACGUGCCUAGUAGUGGGGGAUAACUACUCGAAAGAGUGGCUAAUACCGCAUGAGAUCUACGGAUGAAAGCAGGGGAUCGCAAGACCUUGUGCUACUAGAGCGGCCGAUGGCAGAUUAGGUAGUUGGUGGGAUAAAAGCUUACCAAGCCGACGAUCUGUAGCUGGUCUGAGAGGACGAUCAGCCACACGGGGACUGAGACACGGCCCAGACUCCUACGGGAGGGAGCAGUGGGGAAUUUUGGACAAUGGGCGAAAGCCUGAUCCAGCAAUGCCGCGUGCAGGAUGAAGGCCUUCGGGUUGUAAACUGCUUUUGUACGGAACGAAAAGCCCUGGGUUAAUACCCUGGGGUCAUGACGGUACCGUAAGAAUAAGCACCGGCUAACUACGUGCCAGCAGCCGCCGUAA